GGGUUGCUGUGGUAUGCUGGGGUUCCGCUUCAAUGCCUAGUCACCUCAGAUUUUCCUGUACCUGCAGGUAUCACCAGUGAAGCCUGCGAAGCAGCAAAGAUGGCAGUCUGCCCCGUCUUCUAGGAGCUCUGUCACAGGGAGUCUUGCAAUGGUAAACAACAGACCCUGGAGUUUGAGGACAACACCAAGGUACUGCCAUACUUGAGGUGGAGAUGGCGUUUCUCAG
rnacentral:lncRNA from 1 species